rnacentral:rRNA from 1 species
AACGAACGCUGGCGGCAGGCCUAACACAUGCAAGUCGAACGUGAAGCCACCUUCGGGUGGUGGAAAGUGGCAGACGGGUGAGUAACGCGUGGGAACGUGCCUUUCGGUUCGGAAUAACCCAGGGAAACUUGGGCUAAUACCGGAUACGCCCUUCGGGGGAAAGAUUCAUCGCCGAAAGAUCGGCCCGCGUCGGAUUAGCUAGUUGGUAGGGUAAUGGCCUACCAAGGCGACGAUCCGUAGCUGGUCUGAGAGGAUGACCAGCCACACUGGGACUGAGACACGGCCCAGACUCCUACGGGAGGCAGCAGUGGGGAAUAUUGGACAAUGGGCGAAAGCCUGAUCCAGCCAUGCCGCGUGGGUGAAGAAGGCCCUAGGGUUGUAAACCCCUUUCAGCGGGGAAGAUAAUGACGGUACCCGCAGAAGAAGCCCCGGCUAACUCCGAGCCAGCAGCAGCCGCCGUAA